rfam:Asian citrus Psyllid, Diaphorina citri - Florida Strain, whole genome shotgun sequence.
GCUGGUUACCAUACCAAGGAAUCUUUAGUUCCCAAUGGUUCACUAAAGUUAAGAAACGUUGCGCGUGGUUGGUAUCCGGAUGGGUGACCACCUGGGCAAUCACGAGCUCCUGGCU